UAUCCAGCGGUGUUAGGGCACUAAGAAUUUUGAUUUCUUAAGAGAGGUUCAGUUCCUCCUGAU
rnacentral:tRNA from 2 species